CUUUUGAUAAAAAACUUGAAUGUACUAGAUUCCUAAACACCUAAACACUUGGGAGGAUACUAGCCAAUACCCAGUCUUUAAACCAACCUCUCUUUUUGAGAUUUGCAAGUCUGCACGAUACAGUGAAAACUUGAGGAGCCUAAAAUCGCUGAAAACUAGGAAAAGAUGGAGAAAUAGCCUGAAUUGCUGACUCAAAAGCCACAACCGACUGCAUAUACCCUACAACCUAUCGAUUGUGCGCAUAGCUGAUCAGUUGUGCAUCCAUAGAUCGCCCGAUUUUGCCGAUUUUUGUGCUUUUAUGCCGUUUUAGCCCUUUCUUUUUUGCCAAUAGCUGUAGGAGAGUUGCAAUUUUUAUUUCUUUUUCUUUCUUUUUAUUUUUAUUUUCCUUUAUUUUUUGUACUUUAUAAUAAUUAAUGAAAAAUAUGUGAUUGAUGAUUGAUAACUACAA